rnacentral:tRNA from 1 species
GCCUGGGUGGCUCAGUCGGUUGAGCGUCCGACUUCGGCUCAGGUCACGAUCUCACAGUCUGUGGGUUCGAGCCCCGUGUCAGGCU